rnacentral:rRNA from 1 species
ACGCUCGACACCUACGGAGGCAGCAGUGGGGAAUAUUGCACAAUGGGGGAAACCCUGAUGCAGCGACGCCGCGUGGAGGAAGAAGGUCUUCGGAUUGUAAACUCCUGUUGUUGGGGAAAAAGAGGAUGGUACCCAACAAGGAAGUGACGGCUAACUACGUGCCAGUAGCCGCGGUAAGUACUGAGCGGGCGUGGCGAAGGACG